CCUAACACAUGCAAGUCUAACGGUAACAGGAAGCAGCUUGUUGCUUCGCUGACGAGUGGCGGACGGGUGAGUAAUGUCUGGGAAGCUGCCUGAUGGAGGGGGAUAACUACUGGAAACGGUAGCUAAUACCGCAUAAUGUCGCAAGACCAAAGAGGGGGACCUUCGGGCCUCUUGCCAUCGGAUGUGCCCAGAUGGGAUUAGCUUGUUGGUGGGGUAACGGCUCACCAAGGCGACGAUCCCUAGCUGGUCUGAGAGGAUGACCAGCCACACUGGAACUGAGACACGGUCCAGACUCCUACGGGAGGCAGCAGUGGGGAAUAUUGCACAAUGGGCGCAAGCCUGAUGCAGCCAUGCCGCGUGUAUGAAGAAGGCCUUCGGGUUGUAAAGUACUUUCAGCGGGGAGGAAGGGAGUAAAGUUAAUACCUUUGCUCAUUGACGUUACCCGCAGAAGAAGCACCGGCUAACUCCGUGCCAGCAGCCGCGGUAAUACGGAGGGUGCAAGCGUUAAUCGGAAUUACUGGGCGUAAAGCGCACGCAGGCGGUUUGUUAAGUCAGAUGUGAAAUCCCCGGGCUCAACCUGGGAACUGCAUCUGAUACUGGCAAGCUUGAGUCUCGUAGAGGGGGGUAGAAUUCCAGGUGUAGCGGUGAAAUGCGUAGAGAUCUGGAGGAAUACCGGUGGCGAAGGCGGCCCCCUGGACGAAGACUGACGCUCAGGUGCGAAAGCGU
rnacentral:rRNA from 1 species